ensembl:lncRNA
UAACCACAGAGACCUUCCCAUGAAUAACCACUUUCUUCUCAACACAAAAAAAUGCCUCCUUUCUCUCCGGCUCAUAGAGCCUAUGGCACAAGGUCUGGGCCUGUAACGCACACAGAGUGCGUCAUCUGCGAAUGUGACACAUUUUUUUUACGUUUAUAUUUGCGUAUACAGACGCCACUGCAUGGAUCGUCUCAGCAAUUAGAAAAGAUGACACCAAGUCCGCUAAAGACAGAUGACACCAAGUCCGCUAAAGACAGAUGACACUAGUUUCACUAAAGACAGAAAUCCCAGGGAAAGGGGAGCGCCUCCACCCCAAGCUGGGGACAGGUGCUGGUCACAGGUAAAGGUAGACCACAGAAGAAAGAAUACCCAAGUACCAAUACAACUUCUCUAAACGUACAGACAAGACAGAGCAGCAAAGCAACAGAGCAAAACGGUGUGUGUGUGGGGGGGGGGGCAUCUAUACAGUGUGUGGAGAGUCAUAUUCUUCCUUUUAAGUUUUUCAUUAAAAAACAGAGAGGGAACACUAAUCUGGCCUUGAUCUGCACGAUGCGUUCGAAAUAGCACACAAAGCAAAUGAAAAAGUGUUUGAAAACAUUGGCAAGCGAUUGCCUUUGAGUUCGCAGCGAACGUUUGCGACCACCCACAAACGGUCUGUGAGGGUAGUUCUUGGUGAACGAACAUGGACGCCAUGGGUUACAGUUUAAAUCGAACAAUUUGGAAUGUUUGAACAAAAAAGUUAAAAGAAAAUGAUUACGGUUGGAGUCCUGUGCUGUUUUAGCCUCUAUUUUACUGGUUCUGUCAGGAACAUUGCAUGUGCUGCUUUAAAUGUGCUAUAUUAAAUCUAUAAAAUCUAUAAAAAUCAUUAGUCAUUACUAUCUGGUGAUAAUAGGCAUCUGCAGGCAAAUGCCCAGGCCGUAAAAUGAACUCGGGUUCAGCUUUCAGCACCCAGUUGUUGGCCAUAAAGCAGGAAUGCACCAUGUAGUCUGUCUGCAGUCAGGCCAAGCCAACAGAUUCCUUCACAAAAACACAGGCAUGCUAUGGCUUACAGCAGCUAAUUAACCCUUCCUGUGAAACGUCCACCAGCAUACCUGAUCCAUACCAUAUAACUGAUCCAUACCUGAUCCAUACCAUAUAACUGAUCCAUACCGGAUCCAUACCUGUGAGCUUCAGAUUAAUACAUUCAAAUAAGUAAUGUAAGCAACAACUAAAGUGAAGAUUGAAUCUGUUUCUUUUCUGGCAUGUAGCCUUAAAUAAAGACUCCAGUGGUUCAAAGUUCUCACUCUCACAAAACUUCACUCCCAUCACCUUAUUUUCAUGCCAACUGUGUAUGUGUGCAAUAUCGCACAUAUGGGAAAUGAAAAAAACAAAACAAAAAAAAAAACAAUCAGAAACCAAUUCUGCUACAGUUAGUUACGCUCAAAACAAUCAUCCUAACCUGGUUAUACAUCAGGUGCCCUACGGUCAUGCGUGCUACAUCCGAUCGAUCCCUCUGAAUCCGUAACCAUUUCAUCUCCCUUCACCUGUGUGAGCCCUGUAUAGCUGUAUGCAGCUCUUCUCAGUGCGUGAGAGGCACAUAUGAUAUCUGGACAGGGAGAGAAAUAAGACUUGGGCAAAAAGAUUUCAGGUGAUCGCCUGCCAAAGAGGUGCGCUGAUUAGACUCGUUUAAAACAGAAUCGACUAAUGAAAAUGUGACGCGGAUCAGGCUGUGUUUCUAAGACCAGCCAUGCCUGCAGUCUCUCUACUGUAGUUUAGUCUGCUGCAUCUGGGAGUGUGUUUACAAACCACUGAAGUUUAUGCAGCGUGCACCUGAAGUUUGUCACUCUGUUUGUUUGUUUGUGUGUGUGUGUGUGUGUGUGUGUAUGUGUGUGUGUGUGUGUGUGUGUGUGUGUGUGUGUGUGUGUGAGAGAGAGUGUGUGUGUG